rnacentral:lncRNA from 1 species
UUGGUUUUUGCUUCAGAUGCGGCCUUAUUGAUGCGAGACACGCAUUCCUUGGUUAUAUUUUCCAACAGCUCUUGGGCCUUACCCUUUACGGGCUCCCCAUCUUUGGUCUCCUCUUUUACGUGCUCCCCUGUGAUGCAAUGGUAAACAAUUGCGGCUUUCAACGGCAAGCAUUUCUUCCAAUUGGUGCUUUCUCCGGCUUUCUGAUAGGUGGCGAAGUGGAUGGUUGUCGGCUCAAAUUCAUCGAACUUGGCCAUUUUCAUGCACUUGUAAGCUAAGGACUGCCGAAGCUGUUCGAGGCCCGAGUUUGGGUAUCUCGACAUUGCGCAGAGGAAUUUGCAAUGUCUUCUGG